UCCAGUAACUCUUCUUGAGUCAGGUGUGUUUGUUCUUUCGCCAGGCACCCUAAUUUCAAACUGAAUGAAACCUCUGGUAUUUCUCCUGAUGCCUAAAGUUUUGAGAUGUGACAAUGUUUGUAUUCCAGUAUCCUACCAUUCCAGGAAGUUCAGGUCAUGAGAAUGUUGUAUAAUUGUCUUCAUCUGACCAAAGAACAGAAAUGAGACUCAGAAACCACCAAAGAGCUAGACGGCACAACCCGGAAGUAAUGGGCAUUUGGACGUCUAGGGAUGACCACUGAGAUGCAAGAGACAAGAUGGAGUUGGGAAGUGGGUCUGAGCAGGGAUGUCCAAACACUUAAGAUCCAGAUGGUGAAAUUCCAUCCAGAUACAGAGGAGACAGUCACUAAAGGCCUGGAGACAAAUAGCAGCUACUGGCCAAUGGAAAAUGUCUCUACUCCAUGACCUUGAGCACUGGGAAAGCAGGAAGGUUUUACUGAUGUUGCAGGCUGUCUAUUAUCAUGGUGUUUCUCAAUUUUUUUUUUUUUUUGCCUACAUUUUUUGGUAAGAAAUAUAAAUGUAUAUAAUAUAUAACUAUAUAUAUAAUGGAAACAGAAAUUUCCUAAAUCAAUAUUUUCCCCUCCCCUUUGAAAUAUGCUUAUUUUCUCUCAUUUUCUAUUCUGCUCUAUUCUAUUUCAUUUCUAAAAUGUCGCUCAGAUGGAAAACAAAUCUGUGGUUUCCAGGGGUUAUGAACAGUAUGUCUGGCAGGAGGAGACAGUGACUAUAAAAAGGUAAUUUUGCCUUUCGUGGUGAGGGAGAGUUUUGUAUCUUGAUUAUGGUGGCAGUGAUCAUACACAUAUAUAUGUAUGACAGAAUUGCACACACACAUAAAGGUGUGCUCGUAAUAAUGGGAAAUCUGAGUAAGGCCACUAGUCUGUAGUAGUUAAAUGUACUGGGCCAGUGUCAGUUUCCUGGUUUUGAUAAGGUGCUAUAGUCAGCUAAGAUGUGUCUAUUGGGUGAAGCCGGGCGAUGGGUACACGGGACCCCUCUGAACUACUUUUGCAAUUUCUUGCGCAUGUCUAUUUCAAAACAAAAAUGUUUUGAAUAUUACUCAAGACCCAUUAAAUUACUCAAGGUCACAAUCCGUAGUUUAAAAAUGAAACCCUGGUUCACCAAGAGUGGAUGUUGGAUCAGCAGCAGCUGUGCCUACAUAAACUGAUUUGUCUGAAGAGAUACAUCGGCCUGUGCAGACUGUAUUUGAACUGGCUGGGACUCCACAACCUUAAGGCUCACUAACCCCCGCCUCAACCCCUGCCAGUGGACUGGGAAGCUAGGGGUUGCACAGAGUAGACAGACUUUUAUUUCAUUUUCUUUGUGUGUCAUCCUCUAAAUGUCCCUAUCCUAUCCCUCCCCCAUUUUUUUUUUUUUAAAGACACUUGAUCCUGGGGCACCUGGGUGGCUCAGUCAGUUAAGAGUCAGACUUUGGCUCAGGUCAUGAUCUGACAGUUCCUGGAACCCUGCGACAGGCUCUGUGCUGAUAGCUCAGAGCCUGGAAACUUCUUCGGCUUCUUUGUCUCCCUCUCUCUCUGCCCCUGCCCCGCUCAUACUCUUUCUUCCUCUCGCUCAGAAAUAAAAAACAAAAAAGUUAAAAACACUGAUCCUCAUUUCACCGCUCGGACAUUAGAGCACUGUUUCUCAAAGCGCCGUCGUUGGCCCCCUGCCUCACUUAAGGCUAUGAAUGCAGAUUCCUGCUACUCACUGAAACUCACUUAAUUAGAUUCUUUGGAGGCGGUGUUCAGAAAUAUACACUUUUAAACAAGCUUGCCAGAGGUUUUUAUGUGCACCACGUUGGCUUGAGAAGCUUGUUGAAACCCGAUCCGUGAAUAUGCAGGACGUCAAUUACAACACUGGAAGUGAAUUUGAGUUAAAAAGUUCCUCUGUUGUGAAGAUAGGAUUUCUGAGGUUAGCUUUCGUUCCAGCUUAUAUGAUCUUUGAGCAAUAAAGUUUCCAAUGUUGACAUAA